AGAUUUACAAGGCCCUGACUGAGCUCAAGGAUAAACGGGGAAGUCAUGGUUGAGACUUGAGAGCCUCUGUCUUGUCUUUGGAAGAAUCUUUGAUACAUCUGUAUCAAUUUUCCUAAAUGCAUUUCAAAGACUAGUCAAAGAAAAAAAAAGCUGUAAUAUUAUUUUCAAAAGUGUGCCUCAAAAAUGAACAACACAAACUUCACUGUUGCUCUUUCCACAGGCUCCAAAAAUAGUGACAUUAAUAAAGGUUCCGUUGGUUAUUUCAAGAGGCAGCAACCUUCUUCCUUACAAUUCUCUUUCGCCUAGCCUUUGGAGGUUGAGGAGAAUCUGAAGCUGAGUCAUGUUGCUUCAUACCAAGUAGCCGUGAGACGAUUGCAUUCUUUGAGAUGAACCAUCUUGAAUCUUGCUUUGCUACACCUUCCUCUGAGGGUCGGUUAUAUGCUUUUGCCAGUAGACCAUCUGAUUGAGCCAGCGGGUCGGCCUCCAUGCCUAGCCAUAUUUGUCUUGAUCUUUCCCCUAACUGAACAUUCAUAAUCCUGUUCCAUACAACCUGCAAUGUAUUCCCACAAAUCAUCAUUUACUACUAACAGAUACAUACAUAUAUUGAUUUCAUUAGGAGGGUUUCUGAGUUUUGCCAAACGUACAUUCUCGCAUUUUGCUUUAGCUUUGCCACUUCCUUUGGUGGUUAUCUCUGCUGUGUCUCCACUUUGAUCAUCUGGAGGCUUUGAACCAGUCUUUGCGUUCUUGUUACCUUCAUCAUCUAAAUCGAACGAAAAUCCCUCCAGAGUCCCUAAAUGGAUUAUAAAAUAGUAAAAUCAGCUUCAUAGACGUUAUAGAUAAUGUCUUUUCACUCUUAAAGAGUAUAGAGGACGAGCUGACCUUCCACCAUCGUUUCUGCUUCAUAGACGUUAGAUACUGGUGUUAGCUGUAUGAAGUCAUUCAUAAUAGCUUCAAUCUGCCAAGGAAACAUAUAAUUCAACAAAUCAGGCUACUACGCCAAUCUAUGUUUUAGUUUCUUCGAAGUUUUAAGUCAAGAUUAUGAGCAGGAAGCGAGAUUACUAACCUUUGCCUCUGACUGACUUACAUUAACCUGAAAUUUCAAGAUCUCUAGUGUGAGUACUUGUAUAAUACAAGUUCCCUUAGAAGUUGGAAUAGGUACAAGGAUUUUGAAAAAACGUACUACGCAAAAUGUUCUGGAUGGUAUAAUUGUAGAUUUAUAUAUGGUUCCUGAAACAUGAAAUGAUAAGUGUUAGCAAAGAGACACCAGUCAUGAACUGAUUCUCUGUAUACGUGUUACAUAAUCAGUUCUGUCAGGCUCAACAGGCAUAGCUAGCAGAAGCAUAAAGAGUGAAGCUAGCGAUAUAAAGGGGAUGGGGGACAUGCCUUUCAAGUCCAAGAACACGUCCUGGGUUGUGUUUGAGACAACCACGCGUCCAACAGCCCCCAUGUCUCCACUCAGAUCUAUUGAGUCCCCUUCACAUUCGACGAGUACCUGUGAUAUAGUUCACUGCUUUUGUUAACAACUGUGCUUUGUCUACAAGAAAACUCUAAAAUAGAUGAAUAUAUCAUUUACAGUUAAAUGGCAUUACCUUUGAACGAUUCACCUUCUCAGAAAGUACCAAAGGCAACUUUGAACUUGAGCCCUGAAAAUUUGUAAAUCUGGUCAUAAGGAAAAAACCAGAGAAGAAACAACAAUACUGAUCCUACUACCACAAGGUACUUACAGAAGAAGGCUUGGUGUUCUUAUCGGUUGUCACUUCCUCGGCGACUAUGGAAUCUGUAUCUUUAUUUACAUAGCAGAGGAACCGUUACACUACUUCAGAAGAAUAUUUAAUUCACAAAACUUUGGUAGAAUUCAUACCUUCAUUCGUUUCUUGUGCACUGCUCUCUUCCUUGGGUAUCUGGCGGCUACUACUUGCCUUUUUCUUUGGAGCCUUCUUAACCGCAGGUUCUACCUCUUUAUCUAGAAUAACAAGAUCCUCAUCCUCUUCAGUUGAGAUAAUUACUUGCUGCUUUAUCGGAUCACUGGAGGGUGGUUCAGAAUCAGAUGAGACAAGCCAUACAGAAUCAUCUCCUCCCUGAUAAAGCACAAAAAAAAAUAAAACAGUAACCUGUCAACUCCAUACCAAUUUAAGAAUUAGCAAUUUUUGUAACUUACAUUCCAUAUAGUUGCACAAAAUAACAUACUCAUGCAGCUGGGAAGCUUCUCUAAAGAAGGGUUUAUAACUCACUAAUAUAUCACUAUGUUGAUACUACAAUUUACAUAUCAAGUAGAUGCAUGCAAACACGAAUCACACUAACUACCUAACUAAGGCAAGUAGACCCAACAAAAGCGCAAACAAACGAGUACAACAAAGAUGGGUUCAACCAAACGUUUCUUACUAGAUCGUUCCUAAGCUUGGUAGAGUUUUCUUCACCGUCAACUUUGUUUCCAUCCUGCUUCUCUGCAAAUUGUUCCCCAGUAAAAAAAAAACAUGCCUUUAAGAGGUUUUGAUAAUAGUGUUUUCCUUUUGAAUCACAUAGCAAAAAAAAAAACACAGUAUUGGUGCAUCAUUUGAAACAAAUCUACAAUACCCUCAAGGUUGAGAGUAGCAUUCUUUCUAGAAAACAGUUGCUUUGUCACCAACGAGUCCAGAAUCGUGGUGGCUUCAGUGUCAUCAGGCAAAGGAAGAGACGAAAUGGUUUCAGAUUCCCUGAAAGGACUAUCCUCUGGAGCAGAUUCAGACGACGAAGAUAGUGAUAACAAUGAAGUGGUAAUUGAUGGCUACACACACACACACACACAACAAAACUUCCACAUUUCAAUUGUUUGUUCAUUCAAAAGGAUAUAGAAAAUCAGAUUGAAUCCAAAAAAAAAAAGGAAACCUGGAAAGAUCGGAGCCAAUCGGGAGAUCCCUCUCUGGAGCUGCUCAUAUUUCACUUCUUCAGCGCUUAAGAUCAACAAUCGAAGCUACUCAAUUGAAACAGAAUCAGUUCAGAGACUUUAAAAAAACCCAUGGAUUCGAUGAAAUCGAAGCUCACCUGAAUAAGAAGAAGAAGAAGAAAUUGAGCGAUUAGCGGGCGAAUCAACGGACGUUGAAAUUCGGGAGACGAGAUCCAGGAACGAAGCAGAAGCUUUUUCCGCCGCCGGCGAGAGUGGAGAGAGUUAAAGACGCGGGAAGAUUUGGCUACAAACCGCUUCUUCCGGUUUUGGUUGCUAAGGCAAAGACUUUUAGAAAAGGCCCAAUUAGUCAUGAACAGAAAGCCCAAUUAGAGACUUUUAACAAAUCCAAGUAGAUCUAUAGGGACAAUCGACGAUUGGGUUUUGGUUCGGAUUUAUUUGGAUUUUGGGUCUGGAAAAUCCCAUCCCUUCCUCCAACCGGUCUAGGACCAGGAACCCUCGCAGCUUGGAUUGUGUGGUCUCUAUGGAGUUCAAGGAACCAGCUCAUCUUCGAAAAACGAAAGUUUACACCAGAAGAGAUCAUUCUGAAAGCGAUCUUAGAUGCUAAAAAAUGGAUGAUGGCUCAAACUCCCUCGAUUGCUCUCUCGCCGAAACCUUUGAUCAGAUGCGAACCAGACCCUAAUCGAAUGGGACUUUGCUCGAUAUUCGCUGACGCAGCUUAGAACUCAUCAACAGGCUGUGAAGGCUUUGGUUGGAUCAUUGAUGCUCGGAAUUCAAUCUCACAACAUGCAGUGACCGCGACCUUUGUCUCGUCGCCCAGGGCAGAAACUAUGGCGAUGCUCACAGCCAUGACCUUUGCUCGGGAUCAUGGAAUCGAAUCCAUCUCACUCUUCUCUGACUCUCAAGUUCUUAUCAACACGAUCAAGUUGGAGAUCUAUAGCUUGCUUCGUGAUAUCUAUCUUCUCUCCCUUUCAUUUAAGACAAUCAAGUUUAAUUUUAUUCCAAAAAUAUUUAAUGUUAGAGCUGACUCUGUUGCCAAACAGGUUUUAUGGGCCCUGAACCAAAUUUAAGUUACGAAUGAAAUCAGUUUGCAAAAAAACAUUCAGCCCAUUUAAAUAUUUUAAAAGUUUGGAUCGUGUUUAAUAAUUAUAUUCAGUUUGAGUUACAUGUGCUUACCAAAAUAGUUUUAGUUUCAAAUAUUAAUCGGGUUUUUAAAUAGUUUUAGUUUCAAAUAUGUAGUUGAUUAAAAUGAAUAUAUUUCCAAUCUUAUAAAUAGAUUUACAAGGCCCUGACUGAGCUCAAGGAUAAACGGGGAAGUCAUGGUUGAGACUUGAGAGCCUCUGUCUUGUCUUUGGAAGAAUCUUUGAUACAUCUGUAUCAAUUUUCCUAAAUGCAUUUCAAAGACUAGUCAAAGAAAAAAAAAGCUGUAAUAUUAUUUUCAAAAGUGUGCCUCAAAAAUGAACAACACAAACUUCACUGUUGCUCUUUCCACAGGCUCCAAAAAUAGUGACAUUAAUAAAGGUUCCGUUGGUUAUUUCAAGAGGCAGCAACCUUCUUCCUUACAAUUCUCUUUCGCCUAGCCUUUGGAGGUUGAGGAGAAUCUGAAGCUGAGUCAUGUUGCUUCAUACCAAGUAGCCGUGAGACGAUUGCAUUCUUUGAGAUGAACCAUCUUGAAUCUUGCUUUGCUACACCUUCCUCUGAGGGUCGGUUAUAUGCUUUUGCCAGUAGACCAUCUGAUUGAGCCAGCGGGUCGGCCUCCAUGCCUAGCCAUAUUUGUCUUGAUCUUUCCCCUAACCGAAUGGGACUUUGCUCGAUAUUCGCUGACGCAGCUUAGAACUCAUCAACAGGCUGUGAAGGCUUUGGUUGGAUCAUUGAUGCUCGGAAUUCAAUCUCACAACAUGCAGUGACCGCGACCUUUGUCUCGUCGCCCAGGGCAGAAACUAUGGCGAUGCUCACAGCCAUGACCUUUGCUCGGGAUCAUGGAAUCGAAUCCAUCUCACUCUUCUCUGACUCUCAAGUUCUUAUCAACACGAUCAAGUUGGAGAUCUAUAGCUUGCUUCGUGAUAUCUAUCUUCUCUCCCUUUCAUUUAAGACAAUCAAGUUUAAUUUUAUUCCAAAAAUAUUUAAUGUUAGAGCUGACUCUGUUGCCAAACAGGUUUUAUGGGCCCUGAACCAAAUUUAAGUUACGAAUGAAAUCAGUUUGCAAAAAAACAUUCAGCCCAUUUAAAUAUUUUAAAAGUUUGGAUCGUGUUUAAUAAUUAUAUUCAGUUUGAGUUACAUGUGCUUACCAAAAUAGUUUUAGUUUCAAAUAUUAAUCGGGUUUUUAAAUAGUUUUAGUUUCAAAUAUGUAGUUGAUUAAAAUGAAUAUAUUUCCAAUCUUAUAAAUAGAUUUACAAGGCCCUGACUGAGCUCAAGGAUAAACGGGGAAGUCAUGGUUGAGACUUGAGAGCCUCUGUCUUGUCUUUGGAAGAAUCUUUGAUACAUCUGUAUCAAUUUUCCUAAAUGCAUUUCAAAGACUAGUCAAAGAAAAAAAAAGCUGUAAUAUUAUUUUCAAAAGUGUGCCUCAAAAAUGAACAACACAAACUUCACUGUUGCUCUUUCCACAGGCUCCAAAAAUAGUGACAUUAAUAAAGGUUCCGUUGGUUAUUUCAAGAGGCAGCAACCUUCUUCCUUACAAUUCUCUUUCGCCUAGCCUUUGGAGGUUGAGGAGAAUCUGAAGCUGAGUCAUGUUGCUUCAUACCAAGUAGCCGUGAGACGAUUGCAUUCUUUGAGAUGAACCAUCUUGAAUCUUGCUUUGCUACACCUUCCUCUGAGGGUCGGUUAUAU
rnacentral:lncRNA from 1 species